rnacentral:rRNA from 1 species
CUACGUGCCAGCAGCCGCGGUAAUACGUAGGUGGCAAGCGUUGUCCGGAAUUAUUGGGCGUAAAGCGCGCGCAGGCGGAUCAGUCAGUCUGUCUUAAAAGUUCGGGGCUUAACCCCGUGAUGGGAUGGAAACUGCUGAUCUAGAGUAUCGGAGAGGAAAGUGGAAUUCCUAGUGUAGCGGUGAAAUGCGUAGAUAUUAGGAAGAACACCAGUGGCGAAGGCGACUUUCUGGACGAAAACUGACGCUGAGGCGCGAAAGCCAGGGGAGCGAACGGGAUUAGAUACCCCGGUAGUCCUGACCGUAAACGAUGGGUACUAGGUGUAGGAGGUAUCGACCCCUUCUGUGCCGGAGUUAACGCAAUAAGUACCCCGCCUGGGGAGUACGACCGCAAGGUUGAAACUCAAAGGAAUUGACGGGGGCCCGCACAAGCGGUGGAGUAUGUGGUUUAAUUCGACGCAACGCGAAGAACCUUACCAGGUCUUGACAU